rnacentral:piRNA from 1 species
UGGCUUCAAUGUUUAUACGUGGUCAAGGA